CCUACGGGUGUCAGCAGUGAGGAAUAUUGGUCAAUGGGCGCGAGCCUGAACCAGCCAAGUAGCGUGAAGGAUGACUGCCCUACGGGUUGUAAACUUCUUUUAUCCAGGAAUAAAGUGCGGCACGUGUGCCUUUUUGUAUGUACUUUAUUAAUAAGCAUCGUCUAACUCCGUGCCAGCAGCCGCGGUAAUACGGAGGAUGCGAGCGUUAUCCGGAUUUAUUGGGUUUAAAGGGUGCGCAGGCGGAUGUUUAAGUCAGCGGUAAAAUUGUGUGGCUCAACCCCAUCCAGCCGUUGAAACUGGGGUUCUAGAGUGUGCGAGAGGUAUGCGGAAUGCGUGGGGUAGCGGUGAAAUGCAUAGAUAUCACGCAGAACCCCGAGUGCGAAGGCAGCAUACCGGUGCACAACUGACGCUCAGGCACGAAAGCGUGGGUAUCGAACAGGAUUAGAUACCCCAGUAGUC
rnacentral:rRNA from 1 species